GCUCAUUAAAUCAGUUAUCGUUUAUUUGAUAGAACCUACUUACUUGGAUAACCGUGGUAAUUCUAGAGCUAAUACAUGCUAAAAACCUCGACUUCGGAAGGGGUGUAUUUAUUAGAUAAAAAACCAAUGCCCUCCGGGGCUCCCUGGUGAUUCAUAAUAACUAAACGAAUCGCAUGGCCUUGCGCCGGCGAUGGUUCAUUCAAAUUUCUGCCCUAUCAACUUUCGAUGGUAGGAUAGUGGCCUACCAUGGUGGCAACGGGUAACGGGGAAUUAGGGUUCUAUUCCGGAGAGGGAGCCUGAGAAACGGCUACCACAUCCAAGGAAGGCAGCAGGCGCGCAAAUUACCCAAUCCCGACACGGGGAGGUAGUGACAAUAAAUACUGAUGUGGAGCUCUUUAGGGUUUCACAAUUGGAAUGAGAAAAAUCUAAACCACUUAAACGAGGAACAAUUGGAGGGCAAGUCUGGUGCCAGCAGCCGCGGUAAUUCCAGCUCCAAUAGCGUAUAUUAAAGUUGUUGCAGUUAAAAAGCUCGUAGUUGAACCUUGGGCCUGGCCGGCCGGUCCGCCUCAUCGCGUGCACUGGUUCGGCCGGGCCUUUCCUCCUGGGGAACCGCAUGCCCUUCACUGGGUGUGCCGGGGAAUCAGGACUUUUACUUUGAAAAAAUUAGAGUGUUCAAAGCAGGCAUUUGCUCGAAUACAUUAGCAUGGAAUAAUAGAAUAGGACGUUGUGGUUCUAUUUUGUUGGUUUCUAGGACCGCCGUAAUGAUAAUUAAGGGACGA
rnacentral:rRNA from 1 species